UCAUGAUCAAGAGUUCCAUCUCCUUCUUGGAGGGUACAUUGUCUUUCUCCAGAAUCAGGAACUUGCAGUCUUUAUGCAAGAGAUCGUCACUCUGGACGCUGGUGGUGCAGGCUGCAGAGGAAAGAUUGGGCGAUUUCCCUGUAGCAGGAUAGUGACCACUUACAUCUGGUGGAUGGAGACGCACUCUGCAGUCGAACUCGAAUUUCGCUUUCUAUACGAGAGGAGACAAGAAAAAGAGAGGCUGUGGAUGAAGGAGUCUGCACCACUGUCCUGGACCCCGAGUUCAGAGCAGACCGUGGCUCACUGGGCUGCUUGGUGUGCGGCUACAAGAAGGCGUGGCCCGUUCUGCCCAGCACUCGCCAACUGCAUACUCCCAGGCACCUGAGACUUAACGAAAUCCUAGGCUGAGCAAGGAGGCCCCAUGACACGUUAUCACUGUUGCCAAGCAGUUUUCUGCCUCUGAAACCUCCGAAGUUCACUUGGUCAUCUGAACAGGGGGUCAGCAAGUCAGCAGCUUAACAGUGUUAGCUGCAGCUAGAGAGUCUUUUAACUCUCAUCCUAAGGCUGUGGGUGGCUGGGGUAGCCCCAGUUUGAGCCCCCGAUAAUGCACAAUGGGCGCACAACCUGGUCAUGGGGAACACUCAGCCUGCAAAGGACUCUGCCUUCAGCACAGCCUGACACAUGGUCAUGCAGGGCUCUGCUAGGGAGGCUUUUCCUAGGGUCUUCCUCUCCUUUGUCUUUUCUAGGUGAUGAGUUUACAAAACUAUCCCUUGAAAUAAUUUGAAAAAGAAGGGCUUUUGCUUGUCUUGAUGUAUAAAAGCAAUCAGGGCACAUCUAGGAGACCGGUUGUGAAGACAGAUGUGGUGUCCGACUGUAUCCCUGAGAUUGUCACUGCGUUUGGGUUCCCGCCUAUGGAGCUGCUUAGGUGGUUCUCAGACACCCCACCUCCCGUGCUCAUGGAGCUGUCCAGGACUCCCUCAGUUCUCUAGGCGCCUCCGGCAGAUGCGCUGUCUCAUGCAUGUGUCUGUACUCUGCUUCCUGGCUCCUAGCUACUCAGAAUGCAUUGAACUGGACUCAGUGAUGGUACUUACCUCGUGUUUGGCUUCGCCCUCUGGUUGCAGAAGAUGCUGAGAAAGAGAAAAAUGUGGUGUCAGGCACGUAUGAGAGUUGGCAUGCUGAAUAUUUUUGACACUUGAGGAUAUUUUCACAGUACCUAAAUCCAGAUUUGGGGUGGGGGUUUGCUGUAUAGAAAAUGCUAAAUAAAUGAUGCCCAGAUGCGUAAGGACAAA